rnacentral:tRNA from 1 species
AAAUAAGAAGCUUAAAGCAUUUAAUUUCGACUUAAAAAUUGGGAAUAAAAUCUCCCCUUAUUUU